rnacentral:tRNA from 1 species
GGCGCUUUGACGGAGUGGUUAACGUGCUGCCCUGCUACCCAUCAGCAGUCUCAGGCAGUUCCUUCGGGAGCGCAGGUUCGAAUCCUGCAGGCGUCG